GGGCUUGACAUCCCACGAACCUGCCCGAAAGGGUCGGGUGCCCGCAAGGGAGCGUGGAGACAGGUGGUGCAUGGCUGUCGUCAGCUCGUGUCGUGAGAUGUUGGGUUAAGUCCCGCAACGAGCGCAACCCUCACCCCUUGUUGCCACCGGGUCAUGCCGAGCACUCUAGGGGAACUGCCAGCGUCAAGCUGGAGGAAGGCGGGGAUGACGUCAAGUCAUCAUGCCCCUUACGCCCUGGGCAACACACGUGCUACAAUGGCUGGUACAAAGGGAUGCAAGACCGCGAGGUGGAGCUAAUCCCAAAAAACCAGUCUAAGUUCAGAUUGCAGUCUGCAACUCGACUGCAUGAAGGAGGAAUCGCUAGUAAUCGCGCAUCAGCACGGCGCGGUGAAUACGUUCCCGGGCCUUGUACACACCGCCCGUCACACCACGAAAGCCGGCUGUACUCGAAGUCGCUGAG
rnacentral:rRNA from 1 species